AGUCGAGCGGAGAAGGAGCUUGCUCCUGGAUUCAGCGGCGGACGGGUGAGUAAUGCCUAUGAAUCUGCCUGGUAGUGGGGGACAACGUUUCGAAAGGAACGCUAAUACCGCAUACGUCCUACGGGAGAAAGCAGGGGACCUUCAGGCCUUGCGCUAUCACAUGAGCCUAGGUCGGAUUAGCUAGUUGGUGAGGUAAUGGCUCACCAAGGCGACGAUCCGUAACUGGUCUGAGAGGAUGAUCAGUCACACUGGAACUGAGACACGGUCCAGACUCCUACGGGAGGCAGCAGUGGGGAAUAUUGGACAAUGGGCGAAAGCCUGAUCCAGCCAUGCCGCGUGUGUGAAGAAGGUCUUCGGAUUGUAAAGCACUUUAAGUUGGGAGGAAGGGGAGUAGAUUAAUACUCUGCUGUUUUGACGUUACCGACAGAAUAAGCACCGGCUAACUCUGUGCCAGCAGCCGCGGUAAUACAGAGGGUGCAAGCGUUAAUCGGAAUUACUGGGC
rnacentral:rRNA from 1 species